CCACCAACACCUUCAAAAACAAGCACUAAAGUACUUAACGAAGACACUAAUGUGGUAUAAACACGUUCCAAGGCUGGAGGACCCCGAUGGAGCCCUACGCUGCCUGUGUUUUGGAAAGCACUGGUAUGUAGUGAAGUUCGUACGAAUGCACGGGCAAGCGCGACAACGUCACAAUGUCAGGAGGCGCGACCUCUGUAGUGUUUGUGUGAACCAAGUUUAAAUUUGGCCGCCAAGUUGGUCCGUGAACAAAGAAGCAGAAAGCAACAGAGAACAACGGGAGGGCGUGUUAUCGCGCACUUAAAAUGGUUCGUCACCGCUCACAUAAUUAAUGUGAAUCAGACUUGGUAAUCUCGUGUCGUCAUGCACUAUCGAACUGAGCUACGUUUAACUAUUCAGCAUCAAACACAUUUCAUUGUCCUUCCGCAACACCGAAAUAGUCUUUGAAACGGGAAAAAAACGAACGAAAACUAAGUGAAAAUACAAGAUAACGUAACACAAAACGCUCUGUACGUGCGACCGAUACGUACAUAAGCCUCGCGUAAGUCAUAAUCAUAAAAAGUUUACACAACUCGUCCCGAUCGUACAAUGCAGCGCUUUACUCGCUUUAUCAUUCUCAAGCAAAUCUAAUCGUUUAUCAGGUCAACAAUGUUGAAGCACUACAGCGCUUUAGGCGUUCAAUGCCAAACCCAUUGUUAUUAUAGUACAGCCAACAUGACGGCGUAAUUGCAACCUGAAGUUAGUCACAAACGUAAACAUGCCUUCCCGUCCGAACACGCACGUUAGACAGAGAUAACGUUAGAGUUUGUUUGGUUAUUUCCGUGAAAAUUGUGUUUCCUUUUUUAUUUAUUAUAAUUUUUGUCAAACUAUGGCGUUUGUGCUGGUAUGCGUCGACAAAAUUCGUGAUGACACAACCUGCUAGUCCUACUUUCACUGUUAUUCGUUUAAUUUUGCAACGCAUGUUUCGUUUUUCGACUAAAAUAAGCGAGUGUCGCAAAUGCGGAAGGGAAUAAAUAACGCCUUAUC